rnacentral:rRNA from 1 species
UGCCAGCCGCCGCGGUAAUACGUAGGGUGCAAGCGUUAAUCGGAAUUACUGGGCGUAAAGCGUGCGCAGGCAGUUUUAUAAGUCAGAUGUGAAAUCCCCGAGCUCAACUUGGGAACUGCGUUUGAAACUGUAAGACUAGAGUGUGUCAGAGGGGGGUAGAAUUCCAAGUGUAGCAGUGAAAUGCGUAGAGAUUUGGAGGAAUACCAAUGGCGAAGGCAGCCCCCUGGGAUAACACUGACGCUCAUGCACGAAAGCGUGGGGAGCAAACAGGAUUAGAUA